AGCUCCAAUAACGUAUAUUAAAAUUGUUGCUGUUAAAAAACUCGUAAUUGGAUUUCUGCUGAGGACGACCGGUCCACCUCUGGGUGAGCAUCUGGCUCGCUUGGCAUCUUCUUGGAGAACGUAUCUGCACUUCAUUGUGUGGUGCGGUAACCAGGACUUUUUUAUUUUGAGGAAUUAAAAUGUUUCAAGCAGGCGUGCGC
rnacentral:rRNA from 1 species